GAGAGGGCAGCGGCAGAGGUUGCCGUGGCGUCGCCUUCAAUGACCAGGAGAAUGCUGGCACUGUCGACGGGAGCAACAGUGUACUGUUUCACCGAGGCUGGGACCUGCAGGAAGGACGGAUAAAACCGAAAUACAUGUUCAUCAUCCUGGUGAAGCACUUCUUCAGCGCCUGGCCUGUUUGAACUGCGUCUCCCAUGCUGCAUCGCAGCUCAUCCGCGGUCUCAUUUCCCACCAGAGCACGGAACUCUGGGACAGCUGAUGGAUGCACACACAUGCACAAGAAUCAAUCUAAACUCAACUAAUGACCCUGUGGGACUCACAUUUGAGGAAUCCCAAGAUCUCCUCCACUGGUCUGAAACCACAGAGGCCCUGGAAGCGGGUGAGAGCGAUGGCCAUCUCCGGCUUGUGGUUGUUGUCUG